UCCUCUGUAGUCAUAGCCCAUGUUUCACCGCUAUACAAGCAUACUUGUAUGAAUACAGGUAUCAUACUGCCUGCCUUACUCUCUGGGGAAGAGGCCCUUUGUUACCAACAAAGAUAGUAGUUGUCUGAACUUUGCCCUGCAACUACACUUUUAGAGCUUUCUCCUCUUAACUUGGUUACUUAGGUAAUGGAAGCCAUCCACUACUUCUAAGGAUCCUCCCCCACCCAGAUAUUUGAGGAAAUGUAUUCUCUUUGCAUUGUUAGUGUUUAUUGUACCUGCACACCUGCCACAAACAAAAACUACUUUCUCUGUUACCCUUCUCAUGAUACCGCUGCACCUAUUAUGUGUCAAUAGCUUGCACUGGGUAUGCCACAUGGAGUUCUUACCAACAACUUAUCUAUGUAUCUCUGAAGGGAUUUGUGAUUGGCUGUUUACAUACUUGCUAGGACUUUGGACUUUGCUAAAUUAACUAUAAGGCCUUUAGACCCCAAACCUUGCUUCCACACCUGAAAUUUUCUCUGUAGUUCAGGUAGUGAUUCAGCUUUAAGAACAAGUUCAUCAGUGUAGAGGAACUCCCAAGGACAGCCAGUCUUAAAUUUCUCUGUUAUGGCCUGGAAGACUUUGAUAAACAAGAGGGGGCUGAGAACCAAUCCUUGGUGAACUCUACUUGUACACUAAAUUCAUUGCUAUACUCAUUGCCAACCCUCACCUUGCUGACAGCAUCCCUGUACAUUGCUUGAACAACUCUCCUUGCCCACUAACCUAUUUCUCUGUCAAAGGCUUUCUCCAAGUCAGCCAAAACCAAAUACAGAAGUUCUCCUGCAGUUGCCUUGCCAGGAAGAUAGCAUCAGUAGUGCUUCUCUCUGGCACAAAACCAAACUGCAUCUCAUCCAGGCUAACUGUCUUCCUAGUUAUUUGAGCUUUGACACUGCAACUUUCAUGAUCUGGUCCAGCAAUAUGAGACCUCUGUAAUUAUUUCUGUCUAAGGCAUCACCUUUAUCUUUGUAGCAGUUGACUUUAAUGCUGCUACACCAGUUGUUGGGUAUGACUUCCUUGUGAAUGACCAGAUUAACUAUAUAGGUGACAAGGCCAUAUCUCACUCUGCCAGAUAUUUCAAGCACCUCAGCAGUGAUUCCUGAGGGGCCAGGUGCUUUCCCUUUCUUCAUAUCCUUAAUUGGUUUAUCUAUGAAGCUACUGUUGAUUCAUAUAGCUGGUCACUCUGUU
rnacentral:lncRNA from 1 species